rnacentral:rRNA from 1 species
GAUUAACGCUGGCGGCGUGCAUAACACAUGCAAGUCGAACGAUGAAACUUUACUGACUUCUUCGGAAUGAUUUAAAGCGGAUUAGUGGCGAACGGGUGAGUAACGCGUGAGUAACCUGCCUUACACAAGGGGAUAGCCUCUGGAAACGGAGAAUAAUACCCUAUGAAACCAGACAAUCGCAUGAUAAUCUGGUCAAAAUGUUUAGUGGUGUAAGAUGGACUUGCGUCUGAUUAGCUAGUUGGUGAGAUAAAAGCUCACCAAGGCAACGAUCAGUAGCCGGCUUGAGAGAGUGUACGGUCACAUUGGGACUGAGACACGGCCCAGACUCCUACGGGAGGCAGCAGUGGGGAAUUUUGCACAAUGGGGGAAACCCUGAUGCAGCGACGCCGCGUGAUUUAGAAGGCCUUCGGGUUGUAAAAAUCUUUUGUAUAGGAAGAAAAUGACAGUACUAUACGAAUAAGGUCCGGCUAAUUACGUG